GACGAACGCUGGCGGCGUGCUUAACACAUGCAAGUCGAACGGUGAACCUCUUCGGAGGGGAUCAGUGGCGAACGGGUGAGUAACACGUGGGCAACCUGCCCCCGGCUCUGGGAUAACUCCAAGAAAUUGGGGCUAAUACCGGAUGUUCACCGCUUCCCGCAUGGGUGGUGGUGGAAAGGGUUUCCGGCUGGGGAUGGGCCCGCGGCCUAUCAUCUUGUUGGUGGGGUAGUGGCCUACCAAGGCGACGACGGGUAGCCGGCCUGAGAGGGUGACCGGCCACACUGGGACUGAGACACGGCCCAUACUCCUACGGGAGGCAGCAGUGGGGAAUAUUGCGCAAUGGGCGGAAGCCUGACGCAGCGACGCCGCGUGGGGGAUGACGGCCUUCGGGUUGUAAACCUCUUUCAGCAGGGACGAAGCGCAAGUGACGGUACCUGCAGAAGAAGCACCGGCCAACUACGUGCCAGCAGCCGCGGUAAUACGUAGGGUGCAAGCGUUGUCCGGAAUUAUUGGGCGUAAAGAGCUCGUAGGCGGUUCGUCGCGUCGGCUGUGAAAACCCGGAGCUCAACUCCGGGCCUGCAGUCGAUACGGGCGGACUUGAGUUCGGCAGGGGAGACUGGAAUUCCUGGUGUAGCGGUGAAAUGCGCAGAUAUCAGGAGGAACACCGGUGGCGAAGGCGGGUCUCUGGGCCGAAACUGACGCUGAGGAGCGAAAGCGUGGGGAGCGAACAGGAUUAGAUACCCUGGUAGUCCACGCCGUAAACGUUGGGCGCUAGGUGUGGGGGCCAUUCCACGGUCUCCGUGCCGCAGCUAACGCAUUAAGCGCCCCGCCUGGGGAGUACGGCCGCAAGGCUAAAACUCAAAGGAAUUGACGGGGGCCCGCACAAGCGGCGGAGCAUGUUGCUUAAUUCGAUGCAACGCGAAGAACCUUACCUAGGCUUGACAUGCACGGAAAAGCGGCAGAGAUGUCGUGUCCUUCGGGGUCGUGCACAGGUGGUGCAUGGUUGUCGUCAGCUCGUGUCGUGAGAUGUUGGGUUAAGUCCCGCAACGAGCGCAACCCUCGUUCCAUGUUGCCAGCACGUGAUGGUGGGGACUCAUGGGAGACUGCCGGGGUCAACUCGGAGGAAGGUGGGGAUGACGUCAAAUCAUCAUGCCCCUUAUGUCUAGGGCUGCAAACAUGCUACAAUGGCCGGUACAAAGGGCUGCGAUACCGCGAGGUGGAGCGAAUCCCAAAAAGCCGGUCUCAGUUCGGAUUGGGGUCUGCAACUCGACCCCAUGAAGUUGGAGUCGCUAGUAAUCGCAGAUCAGCAACGCUGCGGUGAAUACGUUCCCGGGCCU
rnacentral:rRNA from 1 species